rnacentral:rRNA from 1 species
AACGAACGCUGGCGGCAUGCCUAACACAUGCAAGUCGAACGAGACCUUCGGGUCUAGUGGCGCACGUGUGCGUAACGCGUGGGAACCUGCCCUUAGGUUCGGAAUAACUCCCCGAAAGGGGUGCUAAUACCGGAUAAUGUCUUCGGACCAAAGAUUUAUCGCCUUUGGAUGGGCCCGCGUUGGAUUAGCUAGUUGGUAGGGUAAAAGCCUACCAAGGCGACGAUCCAUAGCUGGUCUGAGAGGAUGAUCAGCCACACUGGGACUGAGACACGGCCCAGACUCCUACGGGAGGCAGCAGUGGGGAAUAUUGGACAAUGGGUGAAAGCCUGAUCCAGCAAUGCCGCGUGAGUGAUGAAGGCCUUAGGGUUGUAAAGCUCUUUUACCCGGGAUGAUAAUGACAGUACCGGGAGAAUAAGCUCCGGCUAACUCCGUG